CCGAGUUUACAACUCCCAAACCCCCUGUGAACUUCUACCAUUUACUGUUGCUUCGGCGGGUCAUGGCCCCGUGGGAAAGGACAGUGGGUUGGUGCGCCGUCAGGCUCCCUAUCCCGCUGCCCGCCACCCCGCGGAAACAGGCGCCCGCCGGGGAACGCAAACUCUGUAUUUUUCUUUUUGACUACUGUAUACUGUCUGAGUACAACUAAAAAAUGAAUCA
rnacentral:misc_RNA from 1 species